rnacentral:hammerhead_ribozyme from 1 species
ACCUAGCUGAGGAGUUCCAGAUAGGACGAAACGCACGUCCUAAAU